rnacentral:rRNA from 1 species
AGACCCGAAACCCGGUGAUCUAGCCAUGGGCAGGUUGAAGGUUGGGUAACACUAACUGGAGGACCGAACCGACUAAUGUUGAAAAAUUAGCGGAUGACCUGUGGCUGGGGGUGAAAGGCCAAUCAAACCGGGAGAUAGCUGGUUCUCCCCGAAAGCUAUUUAGGUAGCGCCUCGUGAAUUCAUCUCCGGGGGUAGAGCACUGUUUCGGCUAGGGGGCCAUCCCGGCUUACCAACCCGAUGCAAACUGCGAAUACCGGAGAAUGUUAUCACGGGAGACACACGGCGGGUGCUAACGUCCGUCGUGAAGAGGGAAACAACCCAGACCGCCAGCUAAGGUCCCAAAGUCAUGGUUAAGUGGGAAACGAUGUGGGAAGGCCCAGACAGCCAGGAUGUUGGCUUAGAAGCAGCCAUCAUUUAAAGAAAGCGUAAUAGCUCACUGGUCGAGUCGGCCUGCGCGGAAGAUGUAACGGGGCUAAACCAUGCACCGAAGCUGCGGCAGCGAACGUAUCACUUAAAGCGAUUCAGCGGGUUACGAUUGACGGAGCGAAGCGACGUCAAAGCGUAUACAAAGUCGAGUCGGUUUAAGGAUACGUUCGUUGGGUAGGGGAGCGUUCUGUAAGCCUGUGAAGGUGUGUCGUGAGGCAUGCUGGAGGUAUCAGAAGUGCGAAUGCUGACAUAAGUAACGAUAAAGCGGGUGAAAAGCCCGCUCGCCGGAAGACCAAGGGUUCCUGUCCAACGUUAAUCGGGGCAGGGUGAGUCGACCCCUAAGGCGAGGCCGAAAGGCGUAGUCGAUGGGAAACGGGUUA